rnacentral:lncRNA from 1 species
UGCUUCUCAAAAGUAUUGGUGGAACAAUAAAAAAUAUUGGCAAUUGAACCCCCAACAACUGAAAUCAUUAGAAGAUGUAAGAAAAAAGUAUAUGAAAUAUGACUAUUGUACCGAUAAGAGUAGGUAUCCUACCCCUCGUCCAGAGUGUAGUGAAAAAUGAUGGGUAAUAAUAUGUAUUACAUUUAAUGAGAUAUCUUCUAACUCUAGAAAUAAAAUUCAAGGAUUAUGGUCUUUCAUUUCGUAAAAGAUGUACAAAUUAGGAAGGAUAACAUUAUAAAAAUUAGAAUAAUGCCUUAGAUUUCAUAUAGUUUUUUACAACUUACUUUAAAGAUAUAAUUACAAUACCCCAUAUUUUAAAAUGCUUUUAAGAUUAUAAAGUUCUUGAAAAAGACUAGGACGAUUUUCAAAGUUUUUAUUAUGAUUUAUUUUUAAUUGAAAGAUUGAGUUGUUUAUUGGGUAUGUAAAAAUGGAAAUAUAACUCAAAUAACUAAUAAUUAAAUCAUAUACAUAUGUUGCUAUUUUCUAAGUAACNAAUAACUAAUAAUUAAAUCAUAUACAUAUGUUGCUAUUUUCUAAGUACAAAUCCCUUUUCAUUUGGUGGUAAUUUCCGAGGGAUUUUGCUAUGGAAUUUCAGGGGAUUUUGCUAUGGACUGAAUUUGUGAUUUUUGGUAAAUCAUACAUACCAUUUAUGUAAUUUCAUCUUCAUUUGAUGACCAAGUUAUAUCCCCAUCCAAUGAGAGAAUGCACAAGAGCAUGCUUGGUCUCCUUUUUGUCUCUCACUGUCCCCUCUUCUUAUCUCCUCAUUUUCCCUUCCUCUAGCCCUAUAAAAAAAUACCUCAUCCACCAUAUGUAGGACACGCAUAAGAGAGCUCUAAAUUGGACUCUACCUCGCACAUACAGUUCUAAGAUAAGAUGGUUCUCUCCAUUCUAGAGAAAUUAUUUCCAAGUAUAGACCAUAUAACUUGAUCGUUGGAGCAUGCUCUCUGGACUCAUGUCUUAGGAAGGUUCUAACGAUUCUCUUCUGUGAUGUUAGCUAGGACCCAAGUCGAGAACCCACUAAUAACUGAAAUAUCAAAUACGUUUGGACCAAUCCAGAUCCACACUUAAAGACUCGAUGGCCUCUAAUAACCUGAAAAAAAAAUCAGUUUUACAGUUACAAUAUUGUUAAAGAAAGAAUCUCGCAUUUAUAUUCUUUGCAUUUGAUUUCCCACCUCAAAUAUAAGAAUUUGAUGGAGUAUGAAAUUUAAAUCAGACAUUUACCAUAUCCCCAAAUUAUCG